rnacentral:rRNA from 1 species
GAUGAACGCUGGCGGCAGGCCUAACACAUGCAAGUCGAACGCCCUAGCAAUAGGGAGUGGCGCACGGGUGCGUAACGCGUGGGAAUAUACCCUUCACUGCGGAAUAACGUUUGGAAACGAACGCUAAUACCGCAUAAUGACUCCGGUCCAAAGAUUUAUCGGUGAAGGAUUAGCCCGCGUUAGAUUAGCUAGUUGGUGAGGUAAUGGCUCACCAAGGCUACGAUCUAUAGCUGGUCUGAGAGGAUGAUCAGCCACACUGGGACUGAGACACGGCCCAGACUCCUACGGGAGGCAGCAGUGAGGAAUAUUGGACAAUGGGGGCAACCCUGAUCCAGCCAUGCCGCGUGAGUGAAGAAGGCCUUCGGGUUGUAAAGCUCUUUCAGUUGUGAAGAUAAUGACGGUAGCAACAGAAGAAGCCCCGGCUAAAUUCGUGCCAGCAGCCGCGGUAA